CUGGAGACUGCUGGGUCACUCCUGUGGGGCCUCGGCCUGGGUGAGGAGGGGUGGGCACUGCCCUCCACACCUCAAGAGUUCCUGCUGUUGGGGCCUCCCUGCCGGCUGCCUCCCUAGCCCAUGGAUGUGGGGCCGUGGCUGUGGCUGGCCUGUGGGACUCUUCCUCUCCCCUGUAUGGAGGUGGCUGUCCUAGUCCCCUGCGUGCUGGGCCUCCUGCUGCUGCCUCUCCUGACUGUGCUGCUGAUGGCCCUGUGUGUGCGUUGCCGCAAACUGCCAGGCUCCUAUGACAGUGCGUCCUCAGAUAGUACAUACCCAAGGAGCAUCUUGAUCAAACCACCUCACACGCUUGCCCCCUGGCCACCUGCCAUGUCCUACCCACCUGUUAUCUCCUGCCCUCCCCUGAGCCAGCCGGACCUGCUCCCCAUCCCGAGAUCCCCACAGCCCCCUGGGGGCUCCCACCGGAUGCCACCUUCCCGGCGGGAUUCAGAUGGCACCAACAGCGUGGCGAGCUACGAGAACGAGGGUGUGUCUGGGAACCUGGGUGCCCAAGCUGGGUGGGGAGGCCGGGGCAUGUCCCCGGCCAUGCUGACCCCUGCGUCGUUACCCUCAGAGCCAGCCUGUGAGGAUGCGGAUGAGGACGAUGAUGAGGAAGACUAUCACAACGAGAGCUACCUGGUGGUGCUACCUGACAACACCCCGGCCACCAGCACUACUGUCCCAUCCGCUCCUGGGCCCAGCAACCCUGGCCUCCGAGACAGCGCCUUCUCCAUGGAGUCCGGUGAGGACUACGUGAACGUUCCCGAGAGUGAGGACAGUGCAGAAGCGUCUCUGGAUGGGAGCCGGGAGUACGUGAAUGUGUCCCAGGAACUGCAGCCGGCAGCCAGGACCAAGCCUGCCACCCCGAGUUCCCAGGAGGUGGAAGAUGAGGAGGAGGAGGAGGAAGGGGGAGCUCCAGAUUACGAGAAUAUGCAAGAGCUUAACUGAGGCCUGUGUGAGAAGUGUCCUGGAUCCAGCCUUGCACGGGAGGGCUGAGCUGGGCAGAGGAAGUGGCUCUGGGGAUCCCCUCGGCGCCCUGCCCUGGCUCCAGCCUGACAACAGCCUGAGAAUUUCUCCUAACUUAUUGUCACUUUGGGGUCCAGUCUGUGUCCCCCAACACUCUGCACCUUCUGACGCAGCCUGAGAAUGAGCUACUCUGGCCCCAGCCCUACUCUUUGUAAUAGAAUAAAGGUCCCGGGUCUGGACCUGAUGACCUCAAAGGACUCUCUUAGUUUUUACCUAUUGUACUUCUCAAUAAAACAGAACUUAAACAUUGUGGAAGCAACUAAAAACGUUCAUGUGCAGCGCAGCGCUUUCCAAGCUCUGAAGUGCAGACGAGUCCUGCAGAUCUUGCUACAGCGCAGAUUCUGCAAGUCUGGGAUGCAUUUCCACGGAGCUACCGUGUGAUUCUAAUGCUGCUGAUCCAUGAGCCACACCUUGCAUAGCGAGGGUCUGGUGGGUACCUAUUGUUUUUACUGGCUGGGAUCCAUUUCCUCUGAUUUGGGGAAUUUUACCUCAGAUUUCCUCCAGGAUCUGCUCCCUUCCCAAUCUCAUUCCACGUGAUUUUGGAGAUGGGUGAACCACCCUCCACUUCAGGAGGUGAGCACAUGAUCCAGACCUGGGCCAUGGCCAUCUCUGGCUCAGAGAUAGGAUGUGACCCAACCCCGGGCCAGUUAGGAGCAGCCCUGGGACUGCGGCAGGUGGUGUUGGGGAGGAGAAGAUUUUUUUGUUUACAGCAGUUAUUAAGCUGGAAGGCUGCUGUCCUGGAGCUACCCCUUGGAGAGCCUGCCUGAGAAGGAAGCCAACAUGGAGGAGAGAAUGGCCGGGGAUGGAUGGGACCAGAUCCCUGAUGGUGUCAUUGCAACUCCUGGAUCUAGUCACACCCAAAGCAAGACCUCGCUCUGACUUCCCAGCUGUGUGGGUCAAUAAAUUACAACUUGUCUUCAA